rnacentral:misc_RNA from 1 species
GAUGAAGAACGCAGCGAAAUGCGAUAAGUAAUGUGAAUUGCAGAAUUCAGUGAAUCAUCGAAUCUUUGAACGCACAUUGCGCCCGUCAGUAUUCUGGCGGACAUGCCUGUUCGAGCGUCAUUACGCCCCUCAAGUCCCCUGUGGACUUGGUGUUGGGGAUCGGCGAGGCUGGUUUUCCAGCACAGCCGUCCCUUAAAUUAAUUGGCGGUCUCGCCGUGGCCCUCCUCUGCGCAGUAGUAAAACACUCGCAACAGGAGCCCGGCGCGGUCCACUGCCGUAAAACCCCCCAACUUUUUAUAGUUGACCUCGAAUCAGGUAGGACUACCCGCUGAACUUAAGCAUAUCAAUAAGCGGAGGA